rnacentral:piRNA from 1 species
UNGCCACACAGCCUUACAGGCUCUCUACUC